rnacentral:rRNA from 1 species
GGGCUAGCGUUGCUCGGAAUCACUGGGCGUAAAGCGCACGUAGGCGGCUUGCUAAGUCAGGGGUGAAAUCCUGGAGCUCAACUCCAGAACUGCCUUUGAUACUGGCGAUCUUGAGUCCGGGAGAGGUGAGUGGAACUGCGAGUGUAGAGGUGAAAUUCGUAGAUAUUCGCAAGAACACCAGUGGCGAAGGCGGCUCACUGGCCCGGUACUGACGCUGAGGUGCGAAAGCGUGGGGAGCAAACAGG